rnacentral:rRNA from 1 species
CCAUGGGACGAACUAAGCCAUGCGAGUCAUUGUAGCAAUACAAGGCAGACGGCUCAGUAACGCGUAGUCAACCUAACCUAUGGACGGGAAUAAUCUCGGGAAACUGAGAAUAAUGCCCGAUAGAACACUAUAUCUGGAAUGGUUUAUGUUCCAAAUGAUUUAUCGCCAUAGGAUGGGACUGCGGCCUAUCAGUUUGUUGGUGAGGUAAUGGCCCACCAAGACUAUUACAGGUACGGGCUCUGAGAGGAGUAGCCCGGAGAUGGGUACUGAGACACGGACCCAGGCCCUGUGGGGCGCAGCAGGCGAGAAAACUUUGCAAUGUGCGAAAGCACGACAAGGUUAAUCCGAGUGGUUCCUGCUAAAGGAACCUUAUGUCGGUCCUAGAAACACCGAUGAAUAAGGGGUGGGCAAGUUCUGGUGUCAGCCGCCGCGGUAAAACCAGCACCUCAAGUGGUCAGGAUGAUUAUUGGGCCUAAAGCAUCCGUAGCCCGCUCUGUAAGUUUUCGGUUAAAUCUGUACGCUCAACGUACAGGCUGCCGGGAAUACUGCAUAACUAGGAAGUGGGAGAGGUAGACGGUACUCGGUAGGAAGGGGUAAAAUCCUUUGAUCUAUUGAUGACCACCUGUGGCGAAGGCGGUCUACCAGAACACGUCCGACGGUGAGGGAUGAAAGCUGGGGGAGCAAACCGGAUUAGAUACCCGGGUAGUCCCAGCUGUAAACUAUGCAAGCUCAGUGAUGCAUUGGCUUGUGGCCAAUGCAGUGCUGCAGGGAAGCCGUUAAGUUUGCCGCCUGGGAAGUACGUACGCAAGUAUGAAACUUAAAGGGAUUGGCGGGGGAGCACCACAAGGGGUGAAGCCUGCGGUUCAAUUGGAGUCAACGCCGGG